UACGUAUGGUGCAAGCGUUAUCCGGAAUUACUGGGCGUAAAGGGUGCGUAGGCGGCUAAAUAAGUCAUAUGUGAAACCCCAGGGCUCAACCCUGGGAUUGCAUAAGAAACUGUAUAGCUUGAGUGCAGGAGAGGUAAGCGGAAUUCCUAGUGUAGCGGUGAAAUGCGUAGAUAUUAGGAAGAACACCAGUGGCGAAGGCGGCUUACUGGUCCGGAACUGACGCUGAGGUGCGAAAGCGUGGGGAGCAAACAGG
rnacentral:rRNA from 1 species